rnacentral:ribozyme from 1 species
UGCCCAGCAACUCCUAUCCCUACCUCCUCGUGGUACUGGUCGGGGUCACCUUAGGGAAGAUCGGGUAAUCAACCCCGGUGGGAGCUUUGAUCGUAUGCUGACAGGGAAGG